rnacentral:rRNA from 1 species
CUGGACAAAGACUGACGCUCAGGUGCGAAAGCGUGGGGAGCAAACAGGAUUAGAUACCCUGGUAGUCCACGCUGUAAACGAUGUCGAUUUGAAGGUUGUUCCCUUGAGGAGUGGCUUUUGGAGCUAACGCGUUAAAUCGACCGCCUGGGGAGUACGGCCGCAAGGUUAAAACUCAAAUGAAUUGACGGGGGCCCGCACAAGCGGUGGAGCAUGUGGUUUAAUUCGAUGCAACGCGGAGAACCUUACCUACUCUUGACAUCCAGAGAACUUAGCAGAGAUGCUUUGGUGCCUUCGGGAACUCUGAGACAGGUGCUGCAUGGCUGUCGUCAGCUCGUGUUGUGAAAUGUUGGGUUAAGUCCCGCAACGAGCGCAACCCUUAUCCUUUGUUGCCAGCGAUUCGGUCGGGAACUCAAAGGAGACUGCCGGUGAUAAACCGGAGGAAGGUGGGGAUGACGUCAAGUCAUCCUGGCCCUUACGAGUAGGGCUACACACGUGCUACAAUGGCGUAUACAAAGAGAAGCGACCUCGCGAGAGCAAGCGGAACUCAUAAAGUACGUCGUAGUCCGGAUUGGAGUCUGCAACUCGACUCCAUGAAGUCGGAAUCGCUAGUAAUCGUAGAUCAGAAUGCUACGGUGAAUACGUUCCCGGGCCUUGUACACACCGCCCGUCACACCAUGGGAGUGGGUUGCAAAAGAAGUAGGUAGCUUAACCUUCGGGAGGGCGCUUACCACUUUGUGAUUCAUGACUGGGGUGAAGUCGUA